rnacentral:rRNA from 1 species
UACGUAGGGCGCAAGCGUUAUCCGGAAUUAUUGGGCGUAAAGAGCUCGUAGGCGGUUUGUCGCGUCUGCCGUGAAAGUCCGGGGCUCAACUCCGGAUCUGCGGUGGGUACGGGGCAGACUAGAGUGAUGUAGGGGAGACUGGAAUUCCCGGUGUAGAGGUGAAAUUCGUAGAUAUCGGGAGGAACACCGGUGGCGAAGGCGGCGAUCUGGGUCGAUACUGACGCUGAGGAGCGAAAGCGUGGGGAGCGAACAGG